rnacentral:rRNA from 1 species
AUGGUUCUGCUACCACUCUUGGAUGGACCUGCGGUGCAUUAGCUAGUUGGUAAGGUAACGGCUUACCAAGGCAAUGAUGCAUAGCCGAGUUGAGAGACUGAUCGGCCACAUUGGGACUGAGACACGGCCCAAACUCCUACGGGAGGCAGCAGUAGGGAAUCUUCCACAAUGGACGAAAGUCUGAUGGAGCAACGCCGCGUGAGUGAAGAAGGGUUUCGGCUCGUAAAGCUCUGUUGGUAGUGAAGAAAGAUAGAGGUAGUAACUGGCCUUUAUUUGACGGUAAUUACUUAGAAAGUCACGGCUAACUACGUGCCAGCAGCCGCGGUAAUACGUAGGUGGCAAGCGUUGUCCGGAUUUAUUGGGCGUAAAGCGAGUGCAGGCGGUUCAAUAAGUCUGAUGUGAAAGCCUUCGGCUCAACCGGAGAAUUGCAUCAGAAACUGUUGAACUUGAGUGCAGAAGAGGAGAGUGGAACUCCAUGUGUAGCGGUGGAAUGCGUAGAUAUAUGGAAGAACACCAGUGGCGAAGGCGGCUCUCUGGUCUGCAACUGACGCUGAGGCUCGAAAGCAUGGGUAGCGAACAGGAUUAGAUACCCUGGUAGUCCAUGCCGUAAACGAUGAGUGCUAAGUGUUGGGAGGUUUCCGCCUCUCAGUGCU